rnacentral:rRNA from 1 species
GCAUAUAAGUAAGCGGAGGAAAAGAAACUAAAUAGGAUUCCCUCAGUAAUGGCGAAUGAACCGGGACAAGCUCAACAUGUAAAUUGUUGCCUCUGGCUUUGAAUUGUAAUCUCACGAUGUGUUGCUAACGGGGGCACAGAUGGAAGCCGCUUGGAAAAGCGAACCAUUGAGGGUGAGAGUCCUGUUUGUCAUUUGUAGACCUCCGUGUACGGCAUUCUUUCCACGAGUCACGUUCCUCGGGAUUGGAGCGCAAAUUGGGUGGUAAAUUUCAUCUCAAGCUAAAUAUGUGUUCGAAACCGAUAGCAAACAAGUACCAUGAGGGAAAGAUGAAAAGGACUUUGAAAAGAGAGUUAAAAGUGCCUGAACUCGUUGAAAGGAAAGCGGAUGGAACAAGUUGUGCAUCGUGAGAUUGUCGUGUGCUAUGGAGAUGCUCCGCUGCAACAAUGCAAAUGCUGCUGCGGGUUCUGAUCUGGAUGCAUGUGAUGCUUCUUGCCUUGUGUGUCACCAUCUGUUUGAGGGUGGGGAUAACUCUUGGGACAUGGUAGCUCGGCUCCGGCUGAUCGAAUGUUCUUUGCAGUACUCACUUUCCAACCGCAAGUGUCUUGUGAGGUUGUGAUGGCUAGCUCCUUGCACGACGGUGCAUGAAUGCAGUACCGUGUGUGGGAAUGGGUCACCUUCCUGACAUGCCAAAUGGUGGCUAAAUUGUUCUCUUCGACCCGUCUUG